AGGUUGCCCCCUGAACGUUUAUGGAGAAGUCAGUUGGAGUAGUCCAGGUGUGGACAUUGGUGAUGUAGAGAUGUAUCAUGCAGAUAUCCUUUCAGGGAAGAGCUUGCUGCUCAGCUGCAGGCAAUGCAGUCAGCAGACAGCCUCCAGCUCUCAGCUCCUUCAGGACUUGCCUCAGAUGCCCGAAGUUGUUCCAUCCUAGGUCACAACCUUUCUAGGGAAGCCCACAACUGCUGACUGAAUAAGAGUACACAAAACAAAAAUGUACAGCUCAAUGAAUUAUUAUAAAAUGCAAAAUGAACAACCAGGAAAUCAUGUCCACUACCAGUUACUAAGCCCUGGAUCACCAUCCCUGCCUCAAACUUUGGCCAUCGGGAGCUCCUUUAGUCAAUUCCUGUGUCUCUUUGAUAUAUA